rnacentral:rRNA from 1 species
UACGUAGGGUGCAAGCGUUGUCCGGAAUUAUUGGGCGUAAAGAGCGUGUAGGCGGCCCGAUUAGUCCGCUGUGAAAGUCCAGGGCUCAACCCUGGAAUGCCGGUGGAUACUGUCCGGGCUAGAGUCCGGAAGGGCGAGUGGAAUUCCUGGUGUAGCGGUGAAAUGCGCAGAUAUCAGGAGGAACACCAAUGGCGAAGGCAGCUCGCUGGGACGUGACUGACGCUGAGACGCGAAAGCGUGGGGAGCAAACAGG